UCUUAUGGAUGAGUGAAGGAGUGGUGUCUUGAGAUGGAAUCUACUCCUAGUGAAGAUACUGUGAA
rnacentral:pre_miRNA from 2 species